rnacentral:rRNA from 1 species
ACGCGUGCUUACCAUGCAAGUCGAACGGUGAACCCCAGCUUGCUGGGGGGAUCAGUGGCGAACGGGUGAGUAACACGUGAGCAACCUGCCCUUGACUCUGGGAUAAGCCUUGGAAACGGGGUCUAAUACCGGAUACGAGACGCUCGGGCAUCCGAAGCGUCUGGAAAGAUUUAUCGGUCAGGGAUGGGCUCGCGGCCUAUCAGCUUGUUGGUGGGGUAGUGGCCCACCAAGGCGACGACGGGUAGCCGGCCUGAGAGGGCGACCGGCCACACUGGGACUGAGACACGGCCCAGACUCCUACGGGAGGCAGCAGUGGGGAAUAUUGCACAAUGGGCGCAAGCCUGAUGCAGCGACGCCGCGUGAGGGAUGAAGGCCUUCGGGUUGUAAACCUCUUUCAGCAGGGAAGAAGCGAAAGUGACGGUACCUGCAGAAGAAGCGCCGGCUAACUACGUGCCAGCAGCCGCGGUAAUACGUAGGGCGCAAGCGUUGUCCGGAAUUAUUGGGCGUAAAGAGCUCGUAGGCGGUUUGUCGCGUCUGCUGUGAAAACUCGAGGCUCAACCUCGGGCUUGCAGUGGGUACGGGCAGACUAGAGUGCGGUAGGGGUGACUGGAAUUCCUGGUGUAGCGGUGGAAUGCGCAGAUAUCAGGAGGAACACCGAUGGCGAAGGCAGGUCACUGGGCCGCAACUGACGCUGAGGAGCGAAAGCAUGGGGAGCGAACAGGAUUAGAUACCCUGGUAGUCCAUGCCGUAAACGUUGGGCACUAGGUGUGGGGCUCAUUCCACGAGUUCCGUGCCGCAGCAAACGCAUUAAGUGCCCCGCCUGGGGAGUACGGCCGCAAGGCUAAAACUCAAAGAAAUUGACGGGGGCCCGCACAAGCGGCGGAGCAUGCGGAUUAAUUCGAUGCAACGCGAAGAACCUUACCAAGGCUUGACAUACACCGGAAACUUCCAGAGAUGGUUGCCCCGCAAGGUCGGUGUACAGGUGGUGCAUGGUUGUCGUCAGCUCGUGUCGUGAGAUGUUGGGUUAAGUCCCGCAACGAGCGCAACCCUCGUCCUAUGUUGCCAGCGGGUCAUGCCGGGGACUCAUAGGAGACUGCCGGGGUCAACUCGGAGGAAGGUGGGGAUGACGUCAAAUCAUCAUGCCCCUUAUGUCUUGGGCUUCACGCAUGCUACAAUGGCCGGUACAAAGGGCUGCGAUAC